rnacentral:rRNA from 1 species
AACGCGAAGAACCUUACCAGCUUUUGACAUGUCCCGUAUGAGUACCAGAGAUGGAACUCUUCAGUUCGGCUGGCGGGAACACAGGUGCUGCAUGGCUGUCGUCAGCUCGUGUCGUGAGAUGUUGGGUUAAGUCCCGCAACGAGCGCAACCCUCGCCCUUAGUUGCCAUCAUUUAGUUGGGCACUCUAAGGGGACUGCCGGUGAUAAGCCGCGAGGAAGGUGGGGAUGACGUCAAGUCCUCAUGGCCCUUACAGGCUGGGCUACACACGUGCUACAAUGGCGGUGACAAUGGGACGCAAUGGGGAGACCCUGCGCAAAUCUCAAAAAGCCGUCUCAGUUCGGAUUGUGCUCUGCAACUCGAGCACAUGAAGUUGGAAUCGCUAGUAAUCGCAGAUCAGCACGCUGCGGUGAAUACGUUCCCGGGCCUUGUA